UAAUCCAACGACCACCGUUUCCCUUUUCUCCCAUCUCUCUCAUUCUCUCCACUACACCAACCGCCCCCUUUCCCUUCCUCAUCAUCCCUCACUUUCCUCAUAGUCGCAAAUCUCGCCAUUGUUUUCAUUUUCUCAUCACCUCCUUUCUCAUGGUAUGAUUUGAAACCCUAACACAAAAGAGUGUCGAUUUCAACUGGCACCACUUCAUUUCUCAUCAUCGCCUCACAUGCACCCCAAGAUCGAGAUAAAUUCUCAAAAAUUAUAGAGAAUCCUUGACCUCAGUAUAAUCUUUGAAGAUCUAGAGGUCAAACUCAAAGCCCGCUGUGUAAAGCUUAUAUCAGAAAGAUUUAUGGUCGGAUAAUGCUUCAAAUGACCAGUUCUUUCAUCAUUUUAGGAGAUGUCGAGUUGAUCAUUCUUGAGAUGAUUCCGGAAUGGCUAAGGUUCAAUACUUGGUUUGUUGUCCUGAAGAAGGGGUGAUUCUAAGCUAUGUAGAUGUUAUGAAACUAAUUCGAGCUAAUUGGAGCUUUGAAGUCUAAGUAAAAGCACAAAGGAAUAAACUAGAAUCGUAUUCAGAGGUCGAGGAUCACUCCUAUAAUGUCUAAGAUGUGUCACAAACAAGUUAAAGGGUUUGGAUUGCUUUAUGUUUUCCUUUAACUUAAACAUUGUUAUGAUGAAUUACUCUAUAUCCAUGGAGUAGUUAUCUUUAGGGUUUGAUGGAUUUUGUGUAUUGAUACUUGUUUGUGGAUAACUAACUCUAGUUUUAUGUAUUGAAAUCGUUUUGGAUGUUUUAAUCGUUGCAUCUAUAUACACUUGUUAAUGUAAUCGAGAGAGGCAUAACUUGUGAGAUCUUUGCGUUAUA